rnacentral:rRNA from 1 species
AGAGUUUGAUCCUGGCUCAGAACGAACGCUGGCGGCGUGGAUAAGACAUGCAAGUCGAGCGAUCGUUAACGGGUAGCAAUAUUCGUUAGCGGGAGCGGCGCAAGGGUGCGUAACACGUGGGUAAUCUGCCGUGAAGUUUGGGAUAAUCCCGCGAAAGCGGGACUAAUACCGGAUGUGACCAUUGGGAGGCAUCUCUUGAUGGUUAAAGUUGGGGACCGCAAGGCCUGACGCUUCAUGAUGAACCCGCGGCCUAUCAGCUAGUUGGUGAGGUAACGGCUCACCAAGGCUAAGACGGGUAGCUGGUCUGAGAGGACGACCAGCCACACUGGAACUGAGACACGGUCCAGACACCUACGGGUGGCAGCAGUCGAGAAUUUUUCACAAUGGGCGCAAGCCUGAUGGAGCGACGCCGCGUGGGGGAUGAAUGGCUUCGGCCCGUAAACCCCUGGCCAUUCGCGAUCAAACCUUAUUAUUUAAAAAGAUGAUAAGCCGGAUAGCAGCCGAAGAGGAAGGGACGGGCUAACUUCUGGUGCCAGCAGCCGCGGUA